UUUGGUGGGGGAUCCGUUUUGAAUUCCAGUUCUUUGGAGUUUUAUGUUCAAGACCAGUUAUCUAUCAGGUAUGUUCACCUCUCUAGUGUCUGUGCACAAGCCUGUGUGUGAAUCCGGCUAAGGAGCGGGUCAGCCACUGCCACUCCUGCAAUCUGUAGCAACCGUGAAUAUUCUGGUGAAGGGCAUGGCACAGUAAAUUUUAUAGCCACAUACCUCCACGUUUCCAUUAUGAAUACCUCAGGCAAGCUGGACCCACAUUCAAGUCUUAAAAAUCUUUCAGUGGUCAGCUUUUGGAGAAAGAUUUUUAUUGUUUUAAUGUGAACAUUUUAAAGAGAAGAGUUGGUGGAAGCUGUGCCUAAGCAGAGGGAAGUGGUGGCAGCAGGAGGACAUCAGCUAUCUAAGGCACACUCCGCAACACACUGCUAACAGAGCACCUUCACUCUCGGUCUGAACUAAGAAGGCCUGAGCUUUGGAAGACCUCCUGCCUCAGUCCAACAGGCCAAGCAAAAGCCAGUGAGUACCAUUUGGAAAGUGCCACCUCAAAGGCCUUAAAAAAAAAAAAAGUUUGAUUAUGUGAUUCACCACUUCUUUUUUAACAUGCACUGAAUGAAGUAGUAAAAUAAAAAAGAGAGCCGUUCUCCAAGAUUCAUUUGCUAUAUUAAAACUCUUUGGGAGUUGUUUGUAAAAA
rnacentral:lncRNA from 1 species